GACGUAGGGGGCGAGCGUUGUCCGGAUUUAUUGGGCGUAAAGCGUGCGUAGGCGGCUGCGCAAGUCGGGUGUGAAACCCCGGGGCUCAACCCCGGAACUGCAUCCGAUACUGCGUGGCUAGAGGUAGGUAGGGGAGAUCGGAAUUCCUGGUGUAGCGGUGAAAUGCGCAGAUAUCAGGAGGAACGCCGGUGGCGAAGGCGGAUCUCUGGGCCUUACCUGACGCUCAGGCACGAAAGCUAGGGGAGCGAACAGG
rnacentral:rRNA from 1 species